CAACUUUGUAAUUAGGUGUUUGGUUUUGUUUAAUUCAAAAAUCUCCCACCUAAUUCAUAUUUAAUGGCAACCUAACUCUAACCCUAAUCCUUCCCUAUAAAUACCACUCUAAUCCCAGCCACUUUUCCACUUUACAAACUCAAAUCUCACUCUCAAAACUCUCUCAAACUUCCUAAAUUCGCAGCUAUAAUCAGAAUUUCGGACAGAUUCAGCAAGCUUCACUAAAAAGGACUUGGUGUUCCAACUUCCUAAUCAACCAACUCACUCGCGGAUUCAAGUAGAAGACUUGCAAAACCGUUGAUGAUGACGAUGCUAUGAAAAGAAGUAGCGUUGAUGCCUAGAUACACAUAUAGACGUUUAGGUUUAAUAUGUUGUAUCAAUUUUGAUUAUGUUGUUACGUAUUUCCUUUGAACAUGUUGUUAUUGAAUUUCCUUGUAUGUUUGACAAUCUAUCUAUGAAAUGAAAUCGGUUUAUUAAAUAUUGUCACAAAUAGCGUUAUGAUGUCUCUAGCAAUCUUCACACUUCGUCUCAUCCCGAUGUUUCCGCCAUUGGUUGGGGU